AUAAUUAAUAAAUAAUAAUAGUUUUUGUUUACAUUCACAAAUCCAAUAUCUACUACCACCGUUUGCAAGAAUGUUAUCAACCCAAGCUGGGGUUAGUUUGUUUAUUUUUCAUUCGUUUUUGGAGUAAUGUUUUGACUCCUUGGCUCUAAAAUUAAGCCACAAAAAAAAAAAAGCUACCAUUCCAUAAAGAAACCUACUCCACAAUUCCACGGCUCGCAAUACUCCCACAAACACUGGGGCUCUCCUCCUACUGUGCUCUUGCUGCAGUGCAGACUGCUGCCACCUGCCCUCAAAGAAGAAAUAUUACAGUUCACGUUUGGAAGACAUCUCACCACACUAUGGAUUUAAUCCUGGUUAAGUAUGUUGCCUGUGGCACCCUUAAACACGUGAGUGGCUUAUCAAUUUUCCCCUACUCACCUUCCAUCAUUCCAUUAAUUAUUUCUUCUAAUUUAUAUCCCUCUCUCUUUUUUUGCAGUUGCAAUUUACUGACGUCAUGUCUCACAUGCAUGCCUAACAUUGGACCUGGAUGUGGAUGAGGAGGAAGCAAAUAGAAAAACACAUGAGGUUUUUUCAGCACUUCAUAGUUUUUUGACAUCGAAAUAAUUUCUUCUAUGCCAUUGUCAGUGUAUCACCUCCACACUUCCCAGAGCUACAAAUCUAAACUCAUGCUCUAUCUUGGCCCUGGUAUUUUGAUUCCAUUCUGACCACCAGGGAUCUGAAUGCUGCUCAGCUCCAUGCAAGAUAACAUAUUUAUCAGCAUAUGACACGCACAUUUAACUCCUGAAAAGCUUUCUGUUAAAGACGGAAGAAAGAGUGAAGAUAAUGUUGAAGAUAAAGUUCUUAAAGGGUCCCAGUAGGUUGCAGUUUGCGCAGUCCUCCUUGAUAUAUCAAUCCCCCUUCAAAUCACAGUGUCCCUUUCACAGUCACGUUCUAAAGGUAUGAGGUGUCAUUUUUGUACGAAUUUUUAAAUUGAACUUUUAGGUGUAUUACAUGAAAAUGCCUAUGUGUAAAUAGGGUACAUGAUGAUGAUGAUAAUGGAGUUAGUGCUGUGUCCUGUUUCUUCCCAGAUCAUGCACUUACCCUGAGGAGGAGCAAUGGUCCUGCCAGAAGCCGAUGCUGGAGGGUCUUGAAUGCAGCUUUCUGUUAAAGACGGAAGAAAGAGUGAAGAGUCAAGCUCUAUGAUUUUGACCCCUGCUGCUGAAUCCAGGGACAUCCUCUGCCAGAAGGACAUCUCUUAGCUCCGCCUCCCACUCUCGCAACUUGAUAGGCUUUCCUCGGUUUUGUCCUAGUCGAAGCCUCUGCAUCUUCUUUGUAACCGUUGCCCGACAAUCAUAGAACCUGCAAAUGUACAUAAACAUUACAAUUACAUUAAUAAAAAAACAAAUACUUAGAUUAAUGUUUUUUGAAAACCACAUUUCUUUUCACAUUGUGAUGGUUAUAUGUAUACUGUUCAGCAUGUGGCUGUGACAAAUAAAUUUUUUGGUUACGUUGAACUGUUA